CGGGAGAACUUCUGCAGCUUGGGUGCUUCCCAUAGAGGCUUGCACAAUCCCUGAGUCAGUGCAGGCUCCCAGACGGCAGGUCCCGCAGCGCUGGCAGAACAGAGCCCCUCAAGGGCCGGGUGCACGUGGGGGGUGGGGCCGGCAGGAAAAGGCCUGGAGACGUUCCUUUUUUGGGAUCAUGGGGCUGCAGCCCUGGCUUUUCUGCCUGGAAGAUCUGUAACUGAGGAAGACGGCCUAACUUUUAAACACAAGAAGUGGGGGAGGGGAGGGAAAGAAAGAUUGACAAAUAAAGAGACAUCUCGCGGCCAAACCAAAGACAUCUAUCUUCCAAAGAACUGUUCUGAACAAACUGGUUGUCCAAUUAUUUUCAUCCCUUCUUUCUAGCAAGCAGGCCCCGGAGCCUCACUGUCUUGGAACUGGGAGGAGAGAAGAGUCAAGGUCCUCAGAUGGAAAGACGUGAAAGACUACCUCCUAAAGCACACGGACACAAACAACACACGGAGUCACGCCUGGGGUGUCUCACCAGCCUGCAUCUUCUCCCCGGGGACUACCGGCCCAUGCACCCACGGGCUUCUGGACUUCACUCUCCCCUUUCUGCCCCCUAUGCUGGCUUUUCCCAACCAAGUAUGAAAAGGGCCAGGAGAG